rnacentral:rRNA from 1 species
CCUACGGGUGGCAGCAGUAGGGAAUAUUGCUCAAUGGUGGAAACCCUGAAGCAGCAACGCCGCGUGGAGGAUGAAGGUUUUCGGAUUGUAAACUCCUUUUGUUAGAGAAGAUAAUGACGGUAUCUAACGAAUAAGCACCGGCUAACUCCGUGCCAGCAGCCGCGGUAAUACGGAGGGUGCAAGCGUUACUCAGAAUCACUGGGCGUAAAGAGUGCGUAGGCGGGAUUGCAAGUCAGAUGUGAAAUCCUGUAGCUUAACCAUAGAACUGCAUUUGAAACUGUUAUUCUAGAGUGUGGGAGAGGUAGGUGGAAUUCUUGGUGUAGGGGUAAAAUCCGUAGAGAUCAAGAGGAAUACUCAUUGCGAAGGCGACCUGCUGGAACAUAACUGACGCUGAUGCGCGAAAGCGUGGGGAGCAAACAGGAUUAGAUACCCGUGUAGUC